rnacentral:lncRNA from 1 species
CAAAAAUAAAUUUAUCUCAAUUCAAAAUCAAAAUAAGAUUACUAAAAAUAUAAUAGAAUAGAAAGCAGAAUUGAUAAGAUUUGAUGAAAAAUAGUCCAAAUUCUAUGAAUAUAGUUAUUGUUUACUUGCUUCAUCCUCAGUUAGUUUAGGUAAAUAUAAUCAUUCACAUUUUCUGUCCUCAGUUAGUUUAAGUAAAUGGUCAUUCACAUUUUUUAUCUUUAGAAUGGAAUUUAAAAAGAAAUUUUGGCAAUCAGAAAAUUUAGGAUCCAUCAUCAGAGGCAUAUAUUUUUACCCAAUAAAUGCAAAAAACUGCUCCAUGACAGUUCCACCGUAUAACUCAGGUUGGACUUUUAUUUAUAUCGUUUUUAUUGUUAUUUUGAAUUUUUUGUUCUGCCAUCUUCCUGUAUUCAUAUGUCAAAGCAUUGAAUGGAUUAAAUAUGUGGAAUAUAUAUCAAUUUAAAUUUGAAGAAGCACAUUUCAAUUAAUAUUAAAACAUCAACAGUUGAAUGUCUCAUCAACAGAUGUUGGUUAAGAUCUUUCUUUCUAUGAGUCAUUGAUAAUUAUUGCAUAUUGGACAUAGAAUCAUAUUACCCUUCAGCACACUUUUUAUAAAAAUACAGAUAUCUGAUAUUUUCCUGUAACUUUACUGCUUUUGGUUUAUCUGCAAGAAAUAUUGGUAUUUUAUGGAAAAUAUAAUAUAUUAUUAUCU